rnacentral:rRNA from 1 species
AGAGUUUGAUCAUGGCUCAGGACGAACGCUGGCGGCGUGCCUAACACAUGCAAGUCGAACGAUUUAGUCGUCGGUCAUCAGACGUCAGACGUCAGGAAAAAGUGGUGAGCGGAACCCAGACAUUGGGGAGAACCUGAAGGCAGAGGUUGUUGCAAAGACUAUCCUUACGACCGAUGUCCGAUGACUGACGACCGAAUAGUGGCGGACGGGUGAGUAACGCGUGGGUAACCUGCCCAUAAGUGGGGAAUAACAGUUGGAAACGACUGCUAAUACCGCAUAAGCUGAGCAAUCAGUAAAGGAGGCUAACGCUUCCGCUUAUGGAUGGGCCCGCGUCUGAUUAGCUUGUUGGUGGGGUAAUGGCCUACCAAGGCAACGAUCAGUAGCCGGCCUGAGAGGGUGGACGGCCACACUGGGACUGAGACACGGCCCAGACUCCUACGGGAGGCAGCAGUGGGGAAUAUUGCGCAAUGGGGGAAACCCUGACGCAGCGACGCCGCGUGAGCGAAGAAGGCCUUAGGGUCGUAAAGCUCUGUUUUAAGGGACGAAUAUCUUCAGUAGUAACUGACUGGGGAAUGACGGUACCUUAAGAGAAAGCCCCGGCUAACUACGUGCCAGCAGCCGCGGUAAGACGUAGGGGGCGAGCGUUGUCCGGAAUUACUGGGCGUAAAGAGCACGUAGGCGGGAUUUUAAGUCAGGUGUGAAAGACCGUGGCUCAACCACGGGGUUGCACAUGAAACUGGAAUUCUUGAGGGCAGGAGAGGAAAGUGGAAUUCCUGGUGUAGCGGUGAAAUGCGUAGAAAUCAGGAGGAACACCGGUGGCGAA